AGUCGCCACUGCUUGCAGAUCCCUUGAAUCAGCUCGAAUAAUGGACCAUCCUCCCGGUUUGUAGAACAUAUUUCCGCUUCAUGUUUUUGCUAUGCAAAGUUGCAAACCCGUUUAAAUGUAAAAGCUGAACUUUAUUGUGUAGUUUGUUAUCUUCAGAUUCCUUUGGAAUGGAGGGAUUGCAUGGAUUAACAGCCAGAUAAAGUCUGGGCUUUCUUCAUUGCCAUCCAAAUUCAUUCACAUGGAGAACUUCACAACAAUUAAAGUAACUAUGUUGGUCAAGUUAUAACCACCAGGGUACAGAAAUAGUUAAUUUUGGAGAGUACCUUGCUUUUCUGUUGCAGAAUUUUUGGUUUGCAAUAAGCAUGCUAUUUGGGUUCAUUCGUUCGAUUGCAAUCCAUGAUGCUUUCUGUUCGAUUCGGCAAUCCCGAUUCAAUUAAUCCUUGUGUUAUUGGGUGGGUUGGAAGCCAGUGUCAACUCAGUGGAUAAAUUUUAUUGGAAAUACAAAGACAAUAUUGCUACUGUAGUUGUAGCAAUGGAAGGAGUGGGGUGUUGAUAUUAGAGCAUUUUAAUGGCGAAAAGAGGGUUUUGUAGAAUGUUUUAUCAAAACCUUCCUUUUUGUUUGACUGUUUAGUUUUUACUUGGUUUCCAAGUCCCUCCACUUGCCUUUGCAAGUGAUAAUGAAUUCAUUCAAUAAUUCAACUAUCAAGUAUUGAAAGGAAAAUUUUUUUAGCAAUGGUCACGAGGAUUAAAUUUGUGACUUAGCCUUUACUGUUAAGGACUCGGUGGUAAUGGUAUGCAUCAGUUUGCUGCACGCAGUCUAUGGAUCUGGUGUUAUGCUAAAAUGUAGACUCAAGACCUGGGGUGGAACUGCAAGAAGAAGACUUAAAUAAUUUAAUUGUAAUAAUGUUGAAUAAUUUCCCAAAAAGAAAGCUAUAGGUUUAAGUCGUUUAAGACUAGAGAGAGAGUAAAUCCCUGUGUUUCACUUAAGUAGAAUUACAUUUUACUUGAUUUAAUUUUCAA
rnacentral:lncRNA from 1 species